AAUGCGCGAAAGCGUGACGGAGCAAUGCCGCGUGCAGGAUGAAGCUCUUCGGAGUGUAAACUGCUGUCAGGGUUUAGGAAGAAAGUGACCAAACCCAAAGGAAGGGCCGGCUAACUUCGUGCCAGCAGCCGCGGUAAUACGAAGGGCCCGAGCGUUGCGCGGAAUCACUGGGCUUAAAGCGUACGUAGGCGGAUGCAAAGGCGUCCUGUGAAAGCCCUCGGCUCAACCGAGGAACUGCAGGGCGAACCAUGUGUCUUGAGGCAAGUAGGGGUUGUCGGAACGAUAGGUGGAGUGGUGAAAUGCGUUGAUAUCUAUCGGAACGCCAAAGGUGAAGACAGGCAACUGGGCUUGUCCUGACGCUGAGUACGAAAGCGUGGGAGCGAACGGGAUU
rnacentral:rRNA from 1 species